UGUUAAUGCUCUCUCCAAAGUUUGCCUUCGAUUGCUUCAGCUUUGCCUUCUCUUAUUUGGUAAAGGUGAGAAAAUUGUAUAUUGGUUGUUUUGUGUUACCAUUAACAUGUUGCUCUCAAAAUCCUCACUUCUUGUGUGUUUCGGGUUUGGUGUUUUGGGUUUGGUCAAUCAAACAACCGUUAAAAUUCAACACGGAGGCAAAGAUCAAUCCAUUUUGCUUACAACAACUAAGAGCAAGAAAUAGAACAAACCUUCUUCUUUGCUUCAAUCUUAGAUGAAGAAAGAGUUUUGUAGGAUGAAAAAAGUUGCAACAAACCAGGUAUUUUAAGGUUCAGCCGUUAUGUAUGUAUUUUUUUCUCAUUGAAACAACACAGUGUUAUGAUCUUAUCCCUAGGCGUGAUGACAUAACAUCAAGAUUACUCAUUGUUAUUCCAUAUCAUUAUAUGUUGCCCCAGAUAAGUAUGAUACUCUCGUUUGCAGUCACAAACUACUCAAAAUUAAUGGUUAAGUACACUUCAAGACUCAGGGAAGGUUGUAUGCUUCAAGCUUCAAAACUCUUCAAUCGUUUACCUGAAGGUAGCUCAAUCUUGUAGACGAAGCUCCAAAGAACUAGAUGAUAGUUCAAUUAUGUAAACGAUAGUAAGAAUCACUAGACGAUUGUGUAGACGAUAGUUGUGAAGAACUAAACGGUCAUAUAGACGAUAUUUGUGAAGAAUUAAACGAUCGUAUAGACGACAGCUGAGGAACUAGAUGAUCGUAUAGACGAUGUGAUGCAGAGCUCAACGAUUGUGUACACGAUACUUAAGUAAAUGCUAGAUGUUUGUAGAGAAAGAAAGAAAAAACACAAGUAUUUAAGUGGUUCGACUAAAGGCCUAUGUUCACUGUGCAAAUCGGGAGGGUCUAUUUUAUUACUUCUUCUUCAAAGUUAUUAUAGAAUGAAUGCCUUGCUCUCUCUAUCGUUAUUAUCACAUUCGUUUUCUUUUUAUACAGACGCUCAAUGUCAACGAAAAAGCUCAGGUGGUUACAACAAACAUAACAGAAAGAAAACGACAACAUUCAACUACCUGCAACUCCAUUUAUUGUCUUCAGUUCUUUCUGUAACUUGAACCCGAGGAGGUCCAAGCAUCGACCAAGCUUGCUUAGUGGAACUAUUUUGGUCAGUAUAUCAGCAACAUUAUCUGAGACACUCAAUGUCAACGAAGAAGCUCUAGUAGUUAUAACAAACAUAACAGAAAGAAGACGACAACAUUCAACUGCCUGCAACUUUAUUUCUUGUCUUCGGUGUACUGUCAGUUUAACAUCCAAGUAUUAAUUGGUAAGCAACAAUGUGAGAUGGGUUCGUUCUUUUUAGUACUAUGUGUGUUGUUUCACAGGGGUAAUAUAAUCCUUU